ensembl:lncRNA
UGCUUUCAGUAUUUACCCCCCAAAAUUAUGUAAAUAUUCAAUAUCAGUAACAGCAUGUACAUUUACUGUACAUAUUAUAUUUUGGCAAAGUGCAAUCAUAUGAAAAUACACCUAUAUUCAUUUUCAGCAAGAAUUUAAAGCUAUAUCAGUGACAAACUAAAUGACACAGAUUGAAAAUCUUUCUGAGUUAGGUUUUUAUUGAAUAAUAUGACACUGUAAUGAUAUGUCUCUGACAGCAAGCAGUGUGGAUUACAUUUAACGUACUUAAAGUUUCGGAUUUAAAAAAAAUGAAACCAAAAUAAAACCGAUUAUCUUAUGAUGACGCAUGUGCUAUGAAGGAUCCACACAGAUAAAUAAAGCAGCUCGCAGCUAAAGUAUCGUUCCGUUCAAUGGCCUGACACUGAAGCUCUGGAAAACGCUAACGUUACAUUUGAUUCGACCAAGUCACGAACAACGUUCACAAACACGAAAAGACAUUUCAACAUGCUCAAAGAGUCAUUAAAAAAAAGAAUGUCCUCCUGGGUGAAGGUCAGUGGACCAGGUGGAUGUUUGGCACAACCCGACCAAUGAAGCAGGAGAUUUUGAGCAGGACACUGUUGUUCACGUCGUAAGCAAGGAGAAAACUCUGAAGUUGUUUCAGCAGGACACUUUCAAGAUGAUGGUUGACACAAAAUCCCGAAAACAUCAAAAAUAAGUUCAGAAAAUGCUGUUUUGCAAGGAAGU